rnacentral:rRNA from 1 species
CGGGGAAUAUUGCACAAUGGGGGAAACCCUGAUGCAGCGACGCCGCGUGAACGAAGAAGGUAUUCGUAUCGUAAAGUUCUGUCCUAUGGGAAGAUAAUGACAGUACCAUAGAAGAAAGCUCCGGCUAAAUACGUGCCAGCAGCCGCGGUAAUACGUAUGGAGCGAGCGUUGUCCGGAAUUAUUGGGCGUAAAGGGUACGCAGGCGGUUUAAUAAGUCGAAUGUUAAAGAUCGGGGCUCAACCCCGCAAAGCAUUGGAAACUGAUAAACUUGAGUAGUGGAGAGGAAAGUGGAAUUCCUAGUGUAGUGGUGAAAUACGUAGAUAUUAGGAGGAAUACCAGUAGCGAAGGCGACUUUCUGGACACAAACUGACGCUGAGGUACGAAAGCGUGGGGAGCAAACAGG